AAUGCCCAGGAAAAUUUAUUCUCUCUGUGCAUGAGGUGGCACUGUUUGCAGAAGGGUACCGCUGUUUAUAACAGAUGUUAGAAAAACAGGUUCACGAUGGCAGCCAACAGAGCAAGGCAGUAUUUUCCAAAGUGUACAUUGCCCACCUGGUUUUUUGUUUGUUUGCUUGCAUGUUUGCCUAAUAGCUCAAUUCUUACAAGCUCCUUUUCUGCUCAAGCAUCUUUAACUUUCCUCAAUAUUGCUAAUUGCCCACCAAAGAAAAGAUCGAUUACAUAUUUCUAUCAACACACGGCAUUACCACUGUUUGCAAAUGGAAGUGCAUUCCUUUGUGAUAUUUUGUAAUCCCUUGACUCUCAGUGACACCAGACUUUUUGUGAUUACUAUCCAUUUGGGUUUUGUCUUCAAUACAUUUUAUUCCAUAUAAUUUGCCCAUCUUUAAAUGUCUUGAGGAUUUUUUAAAUUACUAAUUUGUUGGGUAUAAAUAUGUGUAUAUCAUCUAGAAACUAUCCAAGUCAAUAAAUUGAAGUUACACAUGUGCUCUUCUGUUCUGUAUCUUAAUUUUUACCUUAUUUAUGAUGCUUUCCAUUGUGCAAAAGGAAAUAGUG
rnacentral:lncRNA from 1 species